GUUUUCAGGGAGCGAAAGCGCCUCUCUGACCUCAACAGAGAGAAGAGUCUAUUGACAUGAACAUGAAAGCAAAUUCUUGACAAGCUUGCUGAUGCUAUCUACACACACAAGGUGUACCCAUCCAGUGAGGAGUAUGAGGCGACUUUCGCCGAAAGCUCAGAGAAGCUGAAUGUCCAGAGGUUACUAUUAAUGGAGGCAAAAGAGGUGCAUAUGAUGGUGCUUCAACAACCAAGAUCAAGAAGAUAAAUUUCUUGCCAGCAUUCCUGGUGAGAAAGAACUUGGCAGUGCUCGAAAGGGGAGCAAAUCCAAAUCCAAUGGGAAGCCAAAUAGAUUUCCAGACUGGAAAAUUUUGGUUGAGAAAAUGGAGAACACGUUUGCCUUAAAAAGAAGAGAAAAUGUGGAAGAAGAGCUACUAGUGACAGAGAUAAAAUUAAACUGGCCUUCACUUUUCACUGAGCGACAUAGGAUCAUGUACAUGGAUUUGAAGAAGUUCUACAAAGGCCUGGAUCAGCAUCUAAUAAAGCUCCUUGAGUUAUAUCACUCAAAAAGAAAUGUGGGAAUAACAAAGCUCAGGGAUGUGAUGCAACGUUUGAAAAGUGACAACUCCAAUCAGAGAGAGAGAGGGAAGCAGCAGAUGGGCCUACCGUAUUUUAUGCGAGAAGACCCUGCCCACUUCAUUAACAUAUGUCAGAGGACCCUGCCCACUUCAUUAAAAUAUAUCAGAAGACCCUGCCCACUUCAUUAACAUAUCUAAGAAGACCCUGCCCACUUCAUUAACAUAUGUCAGAAGAUCC